AAUGGAAAUUCACACCUGACCACAGACACAUCAAUUGCAAUCAGCUGAAGCCAGUUGGUUAAUUAGGAUUCAGACAGAGGAGCUGUGCCUAUAAAACACCAGCUUGGUUGUUUGGGAGUCAAAGCGGGGGUCUUGCUGUAGCAGUGGUGAGGAGAGUGCUGUGUUUGGGACUUUGAUUCGAACCGUUGAUGUUGACUAUGACUCUUAGCGUGACAGUCAGGUUACUUUGGAUAUGCCUUUUCCUAAGUGAAAUAUGCUGUCAGCAACUUCAAGGGCUGGAAGGUCCCCAGAGAUCUGGAGAAACUACUUAUGGUGAUGCUGAGGGUCCCUCAUCAGGGCAGGAGCGCUACCUUAUGAUUACAGCGCCAUCAGGUUUUCAAACGCGCUACGUGGUUAAAUCCUUCAAUCGUUACGUGCUUGGAAAAAGGGUAUUUUCUGAAACCACCUACAUCCCACUGGACUUCCUUCCAACUGAUGAUGCUGAUGAUGCUACUGCUCCGGUUGCUUAUGACCCCAGUUUUCCUGGACAUGAAGCCCAGGCUGACCAAACUGUGGAUGUCAAAGGGUGACUUUGAGAGCGCUUUGUCAUGAAGUCCUGGACUCAAACCUUGAUGGUUAUCUACGCUUGACUUCAUAGGGUAGAUGAAACAAUAAAGGCUUUUCUCUAAUUUUGUAUGUUUCCUUU
rnacentral:lncRNA from 1 species